rnacentral:rRNA from 1 species
GUCUACAUUCAGUUGGGCACUCUAAUGAGACUGCCGGUGACAAGCCGGAGGAAGGUGGGGAUGACGUCAAGUCCUCAUGGCCCUUAUAGGUGGGGCUACACACGUCAUACAAUGGCUGGUACAAAGGGUUGCCAACCCGCGAGGGGGAGCCAAUCCCAUAAAGCCAGUCGUAGUCCGGAUCGUAGUCUGCAACUCGACUACGUGAAGUCGGAAUCGCUAGUAAUCGUGGAUCAGAAUGUCACGGUGAAUACGUUCCCGGGUCUU